rnacentral:rRNA from 1 species
AUUGAACGCUGGCGGCAGGCCUAACACAUGCAAGUCGAGCGGAUGAAGGGAGCUUGCUUCUGGAUUCAGCGGCGGACGGGUGAGUAAUGCCUAGGAAUCUGCCUGGUAGUGGGGGACAACGUUUCGAAAGGAACGCUAAUACCGCAUACGUCCUACGGGAGAAAGCAGGGGACCUUCGGGCCUUGCGCUAUCAGAUGAGCCUAGGUCGGAUUAGCUAGUUGGUGAGGUAAUGGCUCACCAAGGCGACGAUCCGUAACUGGUCUGAGAGGAUGAUCAGUCACACUGGAACGGAGACACGGUCCAGACUCCUACGGGAGGCAGCAGUGGGGAAUAUUGGACAAUGGGCGAAAGCCUGAUCCAGCCAUGCCGCGUGUGUGAAGAAGGUCUUCGGAUUGUAAAGCACUUUAAGUUGGGAGGGAGGGUUGUAGAUUAAUACUCUGCAAUUUUGACGUUACCGACAGAAUAAGCACCGGCUAACUCUGUGCCAGCCGCCGCCGUAACAC